rnacentral:rRNA from 1 species
GACGAACGCUGGCGGCGUGCUUAACACAUGCAAGUCGAACGGUAAGGCCCUUCGGGGUACACGAGUGGCGAACGGGUGAGUAACACGUGGGUGAACUGCCCUGAACGUCGGGAGAAGCCUGGGAAACUGGGUCUAAUACCGGAUAGGACCACUGCCUGCAUGGGUGGGGGUGGAAAGCUUUUGUGGUGUGGGAUGGGCCCGCGGCCUAUCAGCUUGUUGGGGGGGUGAUGGCCUACCAAGGCGACGACGGGUAGCCGGCCUGAGAGGGUGACCGGCCACACUGGGACUGAGAUACGGCCCAGACUCCUACGGGAGGCAGCAGUGGGGAAUAUUGCACAAUGGGCGCAAGCCUGAUGCAGCGACGCCGCGUGAGGGAUGACGGCCUUCGGGUUGUAAACCUCUUUCAGCACCGACGAAGCGCAAGUGACGGUAGGUGCAGAAGAAGGACCGGCCAACUACGUGCCAGCCGCCGCCGUAAGAC